AGGACGAACGCUGGCGGCGUGCUUAACACAUGCAAGUCGAGCGGAAAGGCCCUUCGGGGUACUCGAGCGGCGAACGGGUGAGUAACACGUGAGUAAUCUGCCCCUAGCUCUGGGAUAGCUCCGGGAAAACCGGGAUUAAUACCGGAUACGACCACCUUAGACAUCUUUUGUGGUGGAAAGAAUUUCGGCUAGGGAUGAGCUCGCGGCCUAUCAGCUUGUUGGUGGGGUAACGGCCUACCAAGGCGACGACGGGUAGCCGGCCUGAGAGGGCGACCGGCCACACUGGGACUGAGACACGGCCCAGACUCCUACGGGAGGCAGCAGUGGGGAAUAUUGCGCAAUGGGCGAAAGCCUGACGCAGCGACGCCGCGUGGGGGAUGAAGGCCUUCGGGUUGUAAACCCCUUUCAGCAGGGACGAAGCGAAAGUGACGGUACCUGCAGAAGAAGCGCCGGCUAACUACGCGCCAGCAGCCGC
rnacentral:rRNA from 1 species